rnacentral:lncRNA from 1 species
AGUACCACUACUACUAGUACCGUUCCCUAUUUAACAUAUGGCCCACAAAGUGAACAAUGUACGCACUGAGAAGCCGGCCAGGUGAAUAUGCACCGUUCUUCUUCCCUCGCAUUCGCUAUGGCGUUCCUAGCUAUCGUUUACUGUUUCAUGCCGUCGCCAUGCUCAGCAGCGGUCCAAGAAGGUACGUAAAGAACUAUGUGCAUGCCAUUUUUGUAAGGGAAUUUUCUAAGAUGAGGCGGCCGGAAUGGCGAUUGAUCAUGUUCAUAGGUGUAGCUGUUCUGGACGGAUCCCGUACGCAAAUCAUUGGACCUCCGUCGCCGCGGUACGGGCCGCCGAGGCAGCCAGGCUAUGAGCCCCCGGCCGCUGCCGCCACUUAUGCCACACCGUAAGACCAUGUAGGUGGCUGCUAAGGCCCCUCACGCAUAAAGCAGGCCGAAAAAUCAGAGUGUAUACAGUGAUAAAUAAAAUCCAGACGAUUAACUACUGAGAAGUUGUGAUAUUAUUUAUUAGUUGUGAAAGUUAUGAAUAAAG